rnacentral:rRNA from 1 species
CCUACGGGUGGCUGCAGUCGAGAAUCAUUCACAAUGGGGGAAACCCUGAUGGUGCGACGCCGCGUGGGGGAAUGAAGGUCUUCGGAUUGUAAACCCCUGUCAUGUGGGAGCAAAUUAACAAGAUAGUACCACAAGAGGAAGAGACGGCUAAAUCUGUGCCAGCAGCCGCGGUAAUACCGAGGUCUCAAGCGUUGUUCGGAAUCACUGGGCGUAAAGCGUGCGUAGGCUGUUUAGUAAGUCGUGUGUGAAAGGCGCGGGCCCAACCCGCGGACGGCCCAUGAUACUGCGAGACUAGAGUAGUGGAGGGGGAAGCGGAAUGCUCGGUGUAGCAGUGAAAUGCGUAGAUAUCGAGAGGAACACUAGUGGCGAAGGCGGGUUCCUGGACAUUAACUGACGCUGAGGCACGAAGGCCAGGGGAGCGAAAGGGAUUAGAUACCCCUGUAGUC